rnacentral:siRNA from 1 species
UUCGCCAAGCAUAAGAAGGUCGUG